AAAGUGAGCUUGGUCUGCAAGGGUGGCAAUGUCCCAGGUGUUGUGUGUUAGGCUGAGCUGGGGACACAGGUGGUUCCAAUCUAAGUGAGGUGGAGCGCUGCUUAGGUUCACCACGUGAGGUUUGUCUUGCAGAUUGCCUACUAAGGGUAAAUGUGGAUGGAUGGCAAACUCAACCCCAUAGGGACACAACUACACCAGCAGGGCCCAUUCCCAAGGCUCAGCAUCUCUCUGACAAGCAUGAGGACCCUGCGCCGAGCAAUGUGCUGGAGCGGAAGCAACAGCAAAGAACAGGAGAUGACCAGCAGGAACAUCCUUGUGUGGAUGAGAGCUAAGCCUAAAUAAACACUUCCC
rnacentral:lncRNA from 7 species